rnacentral:tRNA from 1 species
GGAAUGUAGUUCAGUGGUAAAGUGCUUGCUUAGCAUGUGUGAGGUCCUAGGUUUGAUCUCUAGCACCA